CCUACGGGUGGCACCAGUGGGGAAUAUUGCACAAUGGGCGCAAGCCUGAUGCAGCCAUGCCGCGUGUAUGAAGAAGGCCUUCGGGUUGUAAAGUACUUUCAGCGGGGAGGAAGGUGUUGUGGUUAAUAACCACAGCAAUUGACGUUACCCGCAGAAGAAGCACCGGCUAACUCCGUGCCAGCAGCCGCGGUAAUACGGAGGGUGCAAGCGUUAAUCGGAAUUACUGGGCGUAAAGCGCACGCAGGCGGUCUGUCAAGUCGGAUGUGGAAUCCCCGGGCUCAACCCGGGAACUGCAUCCGAAACUGGCAGGCUUGAGUCUUGUAGAGGGGGGUAGAAUUCCAGGUGUAGCGGUGAAAUGCGUAGAGACCUGGAGGAAUACCGGUGGCGAAGGCGGCCCCCCGGACAAAGACUGACGCUCAGGUGCGAAAGCGUGGGGAGCAAACAGGAUUAGAUACCCGCGUAGUC
rnacentral:rRNA from 1 species